CACAUGCAAGUCGAACGAUGAUGCCCAGCUUGCUGGGUGGAUUAGUGGCGAACGGGUGAGUAACACGUGAGUAACCUGCCCCUGACUCUGGGAUAAGCGUUGGAAACGACGUCUAAUACUGGAUAUGACUGCCGGCCGCAUGGUCUGGUGGUGGAAAGAUUUUUUGGUUGGGGAUGGACUCGCGGCCUAUCAGCUUGUUGGUGAGGUAAUGGCUCACCAAGGCGACGACGGGUAGCCGGCCUGAGAGGGUGACCGGCCACACUGGGACUGAGACACGGCCCAGACUCCUACGGGAGGCAGCAGUGGGGAAUAUUGCACAAUGGGCGAAAGCCUGAUGCAGCAACGCCGCGUGAGGGAUGACGGCCUUCGGGUUGUAAACCUCUUUUAGUAGGGAAGAAGCGUAAGUGACGGUACCUGCAGAAAAAGACACYGGCUAACUACGUGCCAGCAGCCGCGGUAAUACGUAGGGUGCAAGCGUUGUCCGGAAUUAUUGGGCGUAAAGAGCUCGUAGGCGGUUUGUCGCGUCUGCUGUGAAAUCCCGAGGCUCAACCUCGGGCUUGCAGUGGGUACGGGCAGACUAGAGUGCGGUAGGGGAGAUUGGAAUUCCUGGUGUAGCGGUGGAAUGCGCAGAUAUCAGGAGGAACACCGAUGGCGAAGGCAGAUCUCUGGGCCGUAACUGACGCUGAGGAGCGAAAGCGUGGGGAGCGAACAGGAUUAGAUACCCUGGUAGUCCACGCCGUAAACGUUGGGCGCUAGAUGUAGGGACCUUUCCACGGUUUCUGUGUCGUAGCUAACGCAUUAAGCGCCCCGCCUGGGGAGUACGGCCGCAAGGCUAAAACUCAAAGGAAUUGACGGGGGCCCGCACAAGCGGCGGAGCAUGCGGAUUAAUUCGAUGCAACGCGAAGAACCUUACCAAGGCUUGACAUACACCGGAAACGGCCAGAGAUGGUUGCCCCCUUGUGGUCGGUGUACAGGUGGUGCAUGGUUGUCGUCAGCUCGUGUCGUGAGAUGUUGGGUUAAGUCCCGCAACGAGCGCAACCCUCGUUCUAUGUUGCCAGCGCGUUAUGGCGGGGACUCAUAGGAGACUGCCGGGGUCAACUCGGAGGAAGGUGGGGAUGACGUCAAAUCAUCAUGCCCCUUAUGUCUUGGGCUUCACGCAUGCUACAAUGGCCGGUACAAAGGGCUGCGAUACCGUAAGGUGGAGCGAAUCCCAAAAAGCCGGUCUCAGUUCGGAUUGAGGUCUGCAACUCGACCUCAUGAAGUCGGAGUCGCUAGUAAUCGCAGAUCAGCAACGCUGCGGUGAAUACGUUCCCGGGCCUUGUACACACCGCCCGUCAAGUCAUGAAAGUCGGUAACACCCGAAGCCGGUGGCCUAACCCUUGUGGAAGGAGCCGUCGAA
rnacentral:rRNA from 1 species